rnacentral:rRNA from 1 species
GCUAAUCAAUAAGCGGAGGAAAAGAAACCAACCGGGAUUGCCUCAGUAACGGCGAGUGAAGCGGCAAGAGCUCAAAUUUGAAAGCUGGCUCCUUCGGGGUCCGCAUUGUAAUUUGCAGAGGAUGCUUCGGGUGCGGCCCCUGUCUAAGUGCCCUGGAACGGGCCGUCAGAGAGGGUGAGAAUCCCGUCUGGGAUGGGGUGUCCGCGCCCGUGUGAAGCUCCUUCGACGAGUCGAGUUGUUUGGGAAUGCAGCUCUAAAUGGGUGGUAAAUUUCAUCUAAAGCUAAAUACUGGCCGGAGACCGAUAGCGCACAAGUAGAGUGAUCGAAAGAUGAAAAGCACUUUGAAAAGAGAGUUAAAAAGCACGUGAAAUUGUUGAAAGGGAAGCGCUUGCGACCAGACUCGCCUCCAGGGUUCAGCCGGCAUUCGUGCCGGUGUACUUCCCUGGGGGCGGGCCAGCGUCGGUUUGGGCGGCCGGUCAAAGGCUCCCGGAAUGUAGUGCCCUUCGGGGCACCUUAUAGCCGGGAGUGCAAUGCGGCCAGCCUGGACCGAGGAACGCGCUUCGGCACGGACGCUGGCAUAAUGGUCGCAAACGACCCGUCUUGAAACACGGACCAAGGAGUCUAACAUCUACGCGAGUGUUCGGGUGUCAAACCCGUACGCGCAGUGAAAGCGAACGGAGGUGGGAGCCCCCUCGCGGGGCGCACCAUCGACCGAUCCUGAUGUCUUCGGAUGGAUUUGAGUAAGAGCGUAAAUGUGGGGACCCGAAAGAUGGUGAACUAUGCCUGAAUAGGGCGAAGCCAGAGGAAACUCUGGUGGAGGCUCGCAGCGGUUCUGACGUGCAAAUCGAUCGUCAAAUUUGGGUAUAGGGGCGAAAGACUAAUCGAACCAUCUAGUAGCUGGUUCCUGCCAA